rnacentral:rRNA from 1 species
AAUCAACGCUGGCGGCGUGCCUAACACAUGCAAGUCGAACGCUGCCAGAGGCUUCGGCCUUUGGCGGAGUGGCGUCCGGGUGAGUAACACGUAGGUAAUCUACCUCCGGGUGGGGAUAACGCCUCGAAGAGGCGCUAAUACCGCAUAAUGCAGCGGCAGCUAAUGCUGAAUAGUUGUUAAAGCGGGGUUAGUCGCAAGACCCUCGCGCCUGAAGAGGAGCUUGCGGCAGAUUAGCUAGUUGGUAAGGUAAUGGCUUACCAAGGCUACGAUCUGUAACCGGUCUAAGAGGACGGUCGGUCACACUGACACUGAAUAACGGGUCAGACUCCUACGGGAGGCAGCAGUCGGG